GAUGCAAGCGCACGGACGGCCCAGAUGCACGCGCACGGACGGUGCAGAUUCAAUCAAGAACGGACGGCCCAGAUUUAAUCAAAAUGGACGGCUGUGAUCAAAAGGCAAAAUGGUAUAAAUAAAACCCCCACACCUGACCACAAAAACCCUAGCCGCCUGCCCUCGCCGGAGAAGACGAACCGGACGCCGGAGGAGCCACCUGCCGCCGCACCGGGGAGUUUUCCGACCGCCGAUCGAGGUAAAUUUCAUACCCCCAGCUCGUUUUUCCACGCUGAGUUCCCCUGUGGCCAAAUCGGAGCCAAAAUCCAGGCCAAACGGCCGGAAAACACGGCUGAAAUCCAGCGGCGCCGCCGCGUCCCUCCUCGAUUUUUGCCUCCGAUGAGGCCCUUCCCGGCCUCC
rnacentral:lncRNA from 1 species